GUAUGCCUGUUCGAGCGUCAUUACACCCUUCAAGUAUAACUUGGUAUUGGAUCUCAUCUGGUUACCAGAUGUUUCCGAAAAUGAGUGGCAGUCGAUGUGAACUUCGUCCGGUUUGACAAUUCACGGGAGAGGUGUUCUCGACUGACCAUAAUUGACAAAUCUUUGACCUCGGAUCAGGUAGGGAUACCCGCUGAACUUAA
rnacentral:misc_RNA from 1 species